UCUGCAGUCAGUAUAAAUUUUGAAAUGUUCCCUUUAAAAUGAAGAAUGGUUUUGUCCAGAUGGAUAAGUCUAUUUAAGAUUGUAACAAAAAGGAAAAUAAUCAGUUGUAGUUUAUUGAUUAAAAUCUGUAGGAGUGAUUUCCCUUGGCUGUUUUAUUAGUUAGUCAUGCUUGUAAUUGUUCCCGCCGUUUUCUGAGUUGUCAUCAGUUUUUGGUAGAAGGCAGACAUGUUUUUCAGUUGUUUAUAGUUAGUUAUUACUUCUUAAAAAGGAUUGUGGAUUUUGGAUUGAGUAUGUUGCAGUAACAUCACAAGAUUGAGAGGAUUUUUGUAUGAGUGUCAUUUGAGUCCAAUCCACAAUUGGGCUUGAUCUUCUUGAUACUGAUUAUAUAUUGAUUGGUGCUUAAACAAGUGCUUGAUGUGAAGUUGUGAUGUGACUAACCUCUUGGGUUAAAUCUACUUGAAGUUUUAUAUUA